GAGGGUAGAGCUCAGUGGUAGAGCAUGUGCUUAGCAUGCACGGGGUCCCUGGCUCAAUCUCUGGUACUUUCA
rnacentral:tRNA from 1 species